UACGUAGGAUGCAAGCGUUGUCCGGAGUUAUUGGGCGUAAAGCGCAUGUAGGCGGUCUGGUAAGUGUGGUGUGAAACCUCCGGGCUUAACUCGGAGUGGUCGCUGCAAACUGCCAAACUGGAGGGCUGGAGAGGAAGACGGAAUUCCCGGUGUAGUGGUGAAAUGCGUAGAUAUCGGGAGGAACACCAGUGGCGAAGGCGGUCUUCUGGCCAGUACCUGACGCUGAGAUGCGAAAGCUAGGGGAGCGAACGGG
rnacentral:rRNA from 1 species